rnacentral:rRNA from 1 species
GAUGAACGCUAGCGGCAGGCCUAACACAUGCAAGUCGAGGGGUAGAGUUAGCUUGCUAACUUGAGACCGGCGCACGGGUGCGUAACGCGUAUGCAAUCUACCUUAUACAGGGGAAUAGCCCAGAGAAAUUUGGAUUAAUGCCCCAUGGUAUUAUUAAGUGGCAUCAUUUGAUAAUUAAAGUUCCAACGGUAUAAGAUGAGCAUGCGUCCCAUUAGUUAGUUGGUAAGGUAACGGCUUACCAAGACGAUGAUGGGUAGGGGUCCUGAGAGGGAGAUCCCCCACACUGGUACUGAGACACGGACCAGACUCCUACGGGAGGCAGCAGUGAGGAAUAUUGGUCAAUGGGCGCAAGCCUGAACCAGCCAUCCCGCGUGCAGGAAGACGGCCCUAUGGGUUGUAAACUGCUUUUCCAGGGAGAGAAACUUACGCACGUGUUGCGUGACUGACGGUACCCUGGGAAUAAGCAUCGGCUAACUCCGUGCCAGCAGCCGCGGU